CCUACGGGCGGCUGCAGUGGGGAAUUUUGGACAAUGGGCGCAAGCCUGAUCCAGCCAUGCCGCGUGCAGGAUGAAGGCCCUCGGGUUGUAAACUGCUUUUGUACGGAACGAAAAGCCUCUUUCUAAUAAAGAGGGGUGAUGACGGUACCGUAAGAAUAAGCACCGGCUAACUACGUGCCAGCAGCCGCGGUAAUACGUAGGGUGCGAGCGUGAAUCGGAAUUACUGGGGGUAAAGCGCACGCAGGUGGUGAAAUCCCCGGGCUCAACCUGGGAACUGCCAUUGUGACUGCAAGGCUGGAGUACGGCAGAGGGGGAUGGAAUUCCGCGUGUAGCAGUGAAAUGCGUAGAUAUGCGGAGGAACACCGAUGGCGAAGGCAGUCCCCUGGGCCUGUACUGACGCUCAUGCACGAAAGCGUGGGGAGCAAACAGGAUUAGAUACCCCAGUAGGC
rnacentral:rRNA from 1 species